rnacentral:rRNA from 1 species
UACCCGCUGAACUUAAGCAUAUCAAUAAGCGGAGGAAAAGAAACCAACAGGGAUUGCCCCAGUAACGGCGAGUGAAGCGGCAACAGCUCAAAUUUGAAAUCUGACCCCUCCGGGGCCCGAGUUGUAAUUUGUAGAGGAUGCUUCGGGCGCGGCGCCGGUCUAAGUUCCUUGGAACAGGACGUCAUAGAGGGUGAGAAUCCCGUAUGCGACCGGCCGUCAACCCCAUGUGAAGCCCCUUCGACGAGUCGAGUUGUUUGGGAAUGCAGCUCAAAAUGGGUGGUAAAUUUCAUCUAAAGCUAAAUACCGGCCAGAGACCGAUAGCGCACAAGUAGAGUGAUCGAAAGAUGAAAAGCACUUUGGAAAGAGAGUCAAACAGUACGUGAAAUUGUUGAAAGGGAAGCGCUUGCAACCAGACCUGCCCGCGGGCGAUCAACCGUUAUUCUUAGCGGUGCACUCGUCCGCGAUCAGGCCAGCAUCGGUUCGGGCGGCCGGAUAAAGGCCCCGGGAAUGUAGCUCCCUCCGGGGAGUCUUAUAGCCUGGGGUGCAAUGCGGCCAGCCCGGACCGAGGACCGCGCUUCGGCUAGGAUGCUGGCUUAAUGGUUGUAAGCGACCCGUCUUGAAACACGGACC